UGGGGAAUAUUGCACAAUGGGCGCAAGCCUGAUGCAGCCAUGCCGCGUGUAUGAAGAAGGCCUUCGGGUUGUAAAGUACUUUCAGCGGGGAGGAAGGCGUUGAGGUUAAUAACCUCAGCGAUUGACGUUACCCGCAGAAGAAGCACCGGCUAACUCCGUGCCAGCAGCCGCGGUAAUACGGAGGGUGCAAGCGUUAAUCGGAAUUACUGGGCGUAAAGCGCACGCAGGCGGUCUGUCAAGUCGGAUGUGAAAUCCCCGGGCUCAACCUGGGAACUGCAUUCGAAACUGGCAGGCUAGAGUCUUGUAGAGGGGGGUAGAAUUCCAGGUGUAGCGGUGAAAUGCGUAGAGAUCUGGAGGAAUACCGGUGGCGAAGGCGGCCCCCUGGACAAAGACUGACGCUCAGGUGCGAAAGCGUGGGAUGCAGCAGGGCUACCCU
rnacentral:rRNA from 1 species